AACGGUUAUUUUAACUCCGAUUUUGAUGAUUUUUUACAGCUACACUCCUUGACCCUAUAUGAAUAGAAUGAAUGAAUUCGAUCUUCAAAUUAAAAUAUUUACACAGGUAUAUACCACAAAAUCUUAUGUUAUACUUAAUGAAAGUAUAAAUAAAUUCUAAGUGUUAGUCAAUCUAUUGUUUUGAUGGGAUACGAAUUCUCCGAAACUAAUUUCAACGAUCCCAACCGUCAAACUUGUUUGCAUAUGCUUCGAGAUCACAUCAGCAAAAAAUCACAAAAAACAAACAUUCAGAGAUCAAGUAACGGGACAAAGCUUUUCGACGGUUAUAAACGAAAAAUCACGAUUUAACAGUUAUUUUAACUCCGAUUUUGAUGAUUUUUUACAGCUACACUCCUUGACCCUAUAUGAAUAGAAUGAAUGAAUUCGAUCUUCAAAUUAAAAUAUUUACACAAGUAGGUACCACAAAAUCUUAUGUUAUACUUAAUGAAAGCAUAAAUAAAUUCUAAGUGUUAGUCAAUCUAUUGUUUUGAUGGGAUACGAAUUCUCCG
rnacentral:lncRNA from 1 species